rnacentral:rRNA from 1 species
CAGCAGCCGCGGUAAUACGUAGGUGGCAAGCGUUGUCCGGAAUUAUUGGGCGUAAAGGGCUCGCAGGCGGUUUCUUAAGUCUGAUGUGAAAGCCCCCGGCUCAACCGGGGAGGGCCAUUGGAAACUGGGAAACUUGAGUGCAGAAGAGGAGAGUGGAAUUCCACGUGUAGCGGUGAAAUGCGUAGAGAUGUGGAGGAACACCAGUGGCGAAGGCGACUCUCUGGUCUGUAACUGACGCUGAGGAGCGAAAGCGUGGGGAGCGAACAGGAUUAGAUACCCCCGUAGUCCCUGUCUCUUAUAA